GAUGAACGCUAGCGGCAGGCUUAAUACAUGCAAGUCGUGGGGCAGCAUGAGUAGCAAUACUUGAUGGCGACCGGCAAACGGGUGAGGAACACGUACACAACCUUCCUUCAAGCGGGGAAUAGCCCAGAGAAAUUUGGAUUAAUACCCCAUAAUAUAUUUGAUAAGGCAUCUUAUUAAUAUUAAAGCUUCGGCACUUGAUGAUGGGUGUGCGGCUGAUUAGAUAGUUGGCGGGUAACGGCCCACCAAGUCUACGAUCAGUAGCUGAUGUGAGAGCAUGAUCAGCCACACGGGCACUGAGACACGGGCCCGACUCCUACGGGAGGCAGCAGUAAGGAAUAUUGGACAAUGGACGAAAGUACUGAUCCAGCCAUGCCGCGUGAAGGAUUAAGGUCCUCUGGAUUGUAAACUUCUUUAUAUGGGACGAAAAGGCAUUCUUGUUCACUUGACGGUACCAUAUGAAUAAGCACCGGCUAACUCCGUGCCAG
rnacentral:rRNA from 1 species